GACAGAGGCCUCAAGCGUUAGGCGGAAUCACUGGGCGUAAGGGGCGCGUAGUUGGCGACCCAAGUCGAUGGUGAAAGCUCGCCGCUCAACGGCGAGUCGGCCACCGAUACUGGGUUGCUGGAGCACUGUAGAGGCAGAUGGAAUUCCGGGUGUAGCGGUGGAAUGCGUAGAGAUCCGGAAGAACACCGGUGGCGAAGGCGGUCUGCUGGGCAGUUGCUGACACUGAGGCGCGACAGCGUGGGGAGCAAACAGG
rnacentral:rRNA from 1 species